UCUAGAAAUUUUGAAAUCUGGAUCGCGGAUCGCAGUACUGUCAAUAAAUAUUGAACGUGUAGCAUAUUUCGUUCGCGAUACGUCAAUACGUGUGUAUUUCAAAAUAAAGUGGAGAUUUAAAUGUUAAAGGCGAAACGUUAAUUAUUGGAUUAAUUAUUUAUUUGGCAGUGGUAAUUUUUAAUAAUGUCGGACGACGAAAGCGCACAUAUCCAGCCGGCGGUGUUGGGAUUAACGAAUGACCAAAGGUGUUUGAAGGAGUUUAUCCUACAAUUGGAAAGUAUGCCGGAAUUGUGGGAUCCUUCGUCCAAAAGCUACAUGAAUAAAAUAAAAAGAACGGCCGGACAUGAGAAAUUAUUACUAAUCUUAAAAAAAAUUAAUGAUAACGCCACUGUAGGUGAUUAUUGAAUUAUUGACACCAAGCGCUCCCGAGCUGGUACAGAAGACGUUUAUAUUCCAAAGCCUUGGACAUUUAACGCUCUUCACUUUUUAAAUAAAAAUGAGAAGCCUGUUGACCUGAACCAGGUAGAAUCGCAAAAUGUGGACGAAUUGGUGCAAGUUGAGGAGCAGACAAAUAGAGAGGACUUAUCUAACACUUCCUUUUCAUCUAUUAGCGAGUUGGCUCCUCCUCGGAAAAAC